GGGCGACAUCAAGAGUUGGGCCGACGCCCGACGCCAACCUGCCCGCCCGGGCAAGGUGGCGCCUCCUGGUCUUCCAGGGGGGAUGUGGCCGAACCGGCAAGUAUUCGGGUCCCU
rnacentral:ncRNA from 2 species